GACGAACGCUGGCGGCGUGCCUAACACAUGCAAGUUGAGCGACGAACCAGGGCUUGCCCUGGGGCAGAGCAGCGAACGGGUGAGUAACACGUGAGUAACCCACCCCGAUGACCGGGACAACCCGAGGAAACUCGGGCUAAUACCGGAUGUGGUGUCCACACGGAAGUGUGUCCAUCAAAGGAAGCUUCGGCCUCCGCAUCGGGACGGGCUCGCGGCCCAUUAGCUUGUUGGUGGGGUAACGGCCUACCAAGGCUCCGAUGGGUAGCUGGUCUGAGAG
rnacentral:rRNA from 1 species